CCUACGGGAGGCUGCAGUGGGGAAUCUUGCGCAAUGGACGAAAGUCUGACGCAGCCAUGCCGCGUGAAUGAUGAAGGUCUUAGGAUUGUAAAGUUCUUUAGCCUGUGACGAUGAUGACGGUAACAGGAGAAUAAGCCCCGGCUAACUUCGUGCCAGCAGCCGCGGUAAUACGAAGGGGGCUAGCGUUGUUCGGAAUUACUGGGCGUAAAGCGCGCGUAGGCGGUUUUACAAGCCAGAGGUGAAAUGCCUGAGCUCAACUUAGGAAUUGCCUUUGGAACUGUAUGGCUUUGAGGACGAGAGAGGUGAGUGGAAUUCCCAGUGUAGAGGUGAAAUUCGUAGAUAUUGGGAAGAACACCGGUGGCGAAGGCGGCUCACUGGCUCGUUACUGACGCUGUAGCGCGAAAGCGUGGGGAUCAAACAGGAUUAGAUACCCCGGUAGUC
rnacentral:rRNA from 1 species